AUAUGCUUACAACAUAGCAUUAAUGCAUUGAAUCCCAUUAGAACUUUGUAGUUAAGAGUGUUUGGGCUAGAUUAGUACUGGGAUGGGUGACCGCCCAGGAACUCCUAGUGUUUUACAUGCC
rnacentral:rRNA from 1 species